CGGAGAAUACAGAUGAGGAGUUACUCGCACUAGACAGCGAGAGAGCGGGGCAGAAAGCGGAACAGGCAGUGGCGGCUUCAAUGCCAAGGACAUUGACAACCUGGUGGUGCUCUUGUGGAUGUUGUGUCCAAAUGGAUACAGAAGAGGAAAGCCUAUGCUGUAAAGAGUAGGACAUCAUACAGCCUAAUGUGUCCCAGGAUAGCAUACAGUGUGUCACCUGCACAGAGGACUUUCCUCAUCUCAUUCAUCCAUCUGUACUGCAGAUGGUUUUUUUCAUACCGAAAAUAAACUGGAAGAAGAGACCAGCACCAGAGGGGCCUGAUGGAAAGCUUUCCACAGACCAAUGCAGGCUCAUAGCAUAUCACGCAGUGUUGGACUGGGCUCUAAAUGGAGAACAUCUUGGCCCCGGCAACAGGAGGAUAUUGCCUAGUUGUAUUGUAGCAGAGAUCAGACGGAUUAGACGGGCUUCAAAGAUGUAGAGGACAUCUUCUGGGUCUGUUUCUCUGAAUCAUACAGUUGAACUUUAUUGCCAGGAGCCUACGUGUAACAGACUAAAACAUAGAAUUGUUUUGAGGGUAUAGUUAUUUAUUUUCCAACAACAGAUUUGUUAUGACUAUUACAGUAUAAAACAAAAACAAACUUGUUCUUUUGUUUUUUUAUUUGAAUGGCAAAAAGUGCAAAUA